rnacentral:lncRNA from 1 species
AUGGAGAAGCACAACUCAGAGUGGUCAGAGUGGUGAACUAAUUCAUCCUGUUGGACAUCACAAAUUUCCCUAAGCUAUAGGUGUCACUGUUUUGAUUGUUCUUCAUCAUCUAUCUGAUGUAAUGUCAAACAGCUUGAGCGUGAUCCUCAUUACUGUGGUGGACUCCAGGUACUUCUGUCUCAGACAUAUACCUACUACAGUUCUUGUUUAUUCAAUAGCUGUUGGAACCAAAAUAUAAGAAAUUUUAUUGUUGAUCAAAAAACGGUAUAGUUUAGCAUUUGUGAUACACGGUUAACCUUCUAUAUUUGGUUAGAAUAUUGACUUGUAAGAUUUUAAUUCUGUUUUCAAUGUCCUCUGACCACUUUCUAGCCACUGUAAGCCUCUGCUCUUAUGAUACUCAUAUGUCAAGAAUAGUAUUUUGGUUACUGGUGCAAUCUUUAUUUUAUAGCUCAAUUGUGACUGUUCUAUUCACAGUUAAGAUUUUCACUUUGUCUUUCUAUGUGUACAAUGCCAUCAGUCACUUCUACUGUGAGAGUCUUCCUUUGUUAUCAUUGAUUUGUUCAAAUAUAGACAAAAUUGAAGCGAUAAUAUUGAUCCUUUCACCUUUUAAUUUGAUUUCCUCUAUUCUAGUU